GACGAACGCUGGCGGCGUGCUUAACACAUGCAAGUCGAACGGAAAGGCCCUGCUUUUGUGGGGUGCUCGAGUGGCGAACGGGUGAGUAACACGUGAGUAACCUGCCCUUGACUUUGGGAUAACUUCAGGAAACUGGGGCUAAUACCGGAUAGGAGCUCCUGCUGCAUGGUGGGGGUUGGAAAGUUUCGGCGGUUGGGGAUGGACUAGCGGCUUAUCAGCUUGUUGGUGGGGUAGUGGCUUACAAAGGCUUUGACGGGUAGCCGGCCUGAGAGGGUGACCGGCCACAUUGGGACUGAGAUACGGCCCAGACUCCUACGGGAGGCAGCAGUGGGGAGUAUUGCACAAUGGGCGGAAGCCUGAUGCAGCAACGCCGCGUGCGGGAUGACGGCCUUCGGGGUGUAAACCGCUUUCGCCUGUGACGAAGCGGGAGUGACGGUAAUGGGUAAAGAAGCACCGGCUAACUACGUG
rnacentral:rRNA from 1 species